rnacentral:misc_RNA from 1 species
CGCACAUUGCGCCCUCUGGUAUUCCGGAGGGCAUGCCUGUUCGAGCGUCAUUAUCUCCCCUCAAGCUCAGCUUGGUGUUGGGGCCUGCCCACCGUGGGCAGCCCUUAAAAUCAGUGGCGGUGGCCGUCUGGCUCUAAGCGUAGUAACUAUUUCUCGCUAUAGGUCCGGGCGGUCUCUGGCCAGAAACCCCCCAACUUUUAGUGAUUGACCUCGGAUCAGGUAGGGAUACCCGCUGAACUUAA